rnacentral:sRNA from 1 species
CGCUAGCCCUGAUGGUAGCGGCAUCUUUUUAUGGAGUCCCUGAGCUUUGGGACAGAAUAAAAAAUACAGCGGACAGCAGGAAAUAGC